UACAGAGGGUGCAAGCGUUGUUCGGAAUUACUGGCGUAAGGCGCGAGCGCAGGCGGUUCGUUCAAGUCAGAGGUGAAAGCCCAAGAGCUCAACUCUGGAAUGGGCCUUUGAGUACUAAGAGAACUUGGGUACGGGAGAGGUGAGUGGAAUUCCGGAGUGUAGAGGUGAAAUUCGUAGAUAUUAGGGAAGAACACCGGUGGCGAAGGCGGCCUGC
rnacentral:rRNA from 1 species